GUGGGGAAUAUUGGACAAUGGGGGCAACCCUGAUCCAGCCAUGCCGCGUGUGUGAAGAAGGCCUUUUGGUUGUAAAGCACUUUAAGCGAGGAGGAGGCUCUUCUAGUUAAUACCUAGGAUGAGUGGACGUUACUCGCAGAAUAAGCACCGGCUAACUCUGUGCCAGCAGCCGCGGUAAUACAGAGGGUGCGAGCGUUAAUCGGAUUUACUGGGCGUAAAGCGUACGUAGGCGGCUUUUUAAGUCGGAUGUGAAAUCCCUGAGCUUAACUUAGGAAUUGCAUUCGAUACUGGGAAGCUAGAGUAUGGGAGAGGAUGGUAGAAUUCCAGGUGUAGCGGUGAAAUGCGUAGAGAUCUGGAGGAAUACCGAUGGCGAAGGCAGCCAUCUGGCCUAAUACUGACGCUGAGGUACGAAAGCAUGGGGAGCAAACAGGAUUAGAAACCCUGGUAGUCC
rnacentral:rRNA from 1 species